rnacentral:rRNA from 4 species
UGACCCCAUGCCGAACUCAGAAGUGAAACGCCGUAGCGCCGAUGGUAGUGUGGGGGCUCCCCAUGCGAGAGUAGGGAACUGCCAGAC